rnacentral:rRNA from 1 species
GACGAACGCUGGCGGCGUGCCUAAUACAUGCAAGUCGAGCGCAGGAAGCCGUCUGAACCCUUCGGGGGGACGACGGUGGAAUGAGCGGCGGACGGGUGAGUAACACGUAAAGAACCUGCCCAUAGGUCUGGGAUAACCACGAGAAAUCGGGGCUAAUACCGGAUGUGUCAUCGGACCGCAUGGUCCGCUGAUGAAAGGCGCUCCGGCGUCGCCCAUGGAUGGCUUUGCGGUGCAUUAGCUAGUUGGUGGGGUAGAGGCCCACCAAGGCGGCGAUGCAUAGCCGACCUGAGAGGGUGGUCGGCCACACUGGGACUGAGACACGGCCCAGACUCCUACGGGAGGCAGCAGUAGGGAAUCUUCCACAAUGGACGAAAGGCUGAUGGAGCAACGCCGCGUGAACGAUGAAGGCUCUCGGGUCGUAAAGUUCUGUUGUAAGGGAAGAACAAGUGCCGCAGGCAAUGGCGGCACCUUGACGGUACCUUGCGAGAAAGCCACGGCUAACUACGUGCCAGCCGCCGCAGUAACAC